rnacentral:rRNA from 1 species
UACGUAGGGGGCAAGCGUUGUCCGGAUUUAUUGGGCGUAAAGAGCGUGUAGGCGGCCGUACAGGUCAGCUGUGAAAACUCGAGGCUCAACCUCGAGACGUCGGUUGAAACCGUACGGCUAGAGUCCGGAAGAGGAGAGUGGAUUUCCCGGUGUAGCGGUGAAAUGCGCAGAUAUCGGGAAGAACACCCGUGGCGAAGGCGGCUCUCUGGGACGGUACUGACGCUGAGACGCGAAAGCGUGGGGAGCGAACAGG